GAAAUGGUUAAGGUCCCUGAUAGACGAUCAGGUAGAUAGGCUGGAUGUGGAAGUAUGGUAACAUAUGGAGCUGACCAGUACUAAUCGACCGAGGUCUUGAUCCAAUAA
rnacentral:rRNA from 1 species